GUGGUUCCUACUUCGAAAGCACACACACUAUAACUGGAAUAAUGCAGAGAUUGACAUGGCCCCUGUACAAGGAUGACACACAAAUUUGUGAAAUGAUCCUGAUUUUU